rnacentral:rRNA from 1 species
UACAGAGGGCUCAAGCGUUGUUCGGAUUCAUUGGGCGUAAAGGGUGCGUAGGCGGUCGCGCAAGUCGGAUGUGAAAUCUCAGGGCUCAACCCUGAAACUGCAUUCGAUACUGCGUGGCUAGAGUGCUGGAGAGGAGACUGGAAUUUACGGUGUAGCAGUGAAAUGCGUAGAUAUCGUUUGGAACGCCAAAGGUGAAAACAGGUCGCUGGGGAUGAGCUGACGCUGAGACACGAAAGCCAGGGGAGCAAACGGG